GAAGCGAAACAAGUGAUGUGGAGCAAACUCAAAAAAAUAAGUCUCAGUUCGGAUUGAAGGCUGAAAUUCGCCUUCAUGAAGCCGGAAUUGCUAGUAAUGGCAGGUCAGCAUACUGCCGUGAAUACGUUCCCGGGCCUUGUACACACCGCCCGUCACACCAUGAGAGUUGGGAAUACCCGAAGCCUGUGAGCUAACUUUUAGAGGCAGCAGUCGAAGGUAGAAUCAAUGAUUGGGGUGAAGUCGUAACAAGGUAAC
rnacentral:rRNA from 1 species